rnacentral:rRNA from 1 species
CCUACGGGAGGCAGCAGUGGGGAAUAUUGGGCAAUGGAGGAAACUCUGACCCAGCGACGCCGCGUGCGGGAUGAAGGCCUUCGGGUUGUAAACCGCUUUCAGUAGGGAAGAAGCGAAAGUGACGGUACCUACAAAAGAAGCACCGGCUAACUAUGUGCCAGCAGCCGCGGUAAUACAUAGGGUGCAAGCGUUGUCCGGAAUUAUUGGGCGUAAAGAGCUCGUAGGUCGUUUGUUACGUCGGAUGUGAAAACCUGAGGCUCAACCUCAGGCCUGCAUUCGAUACGGGCAAACUAGAGUUUGGUAGGGGAGACUGGAAUUCCUGGUGUAGCGGUGGAAUGCGCAGAUAUCAGGAGGAACACCAAUGGCGAAGGCAGGUCUCUGGGCCAAUACUGACACUGAGGAGCGAAAGUCUGGGGAGCGAACAGGAUUAGAUACCCUGGUAGUCCAGACCGUAAACGGUGGGCACUAGUUGUGGGAACCUUCCACGGUUUCUGCGACGCAGCUACGCAUAGUGCCCGCCGUCGGGAGGUACGAGUCGCGAGAAGUUAAACGUAACGAAAGGAAAGUUAGUAACGGUCGUGAGACGUGCCGAACGGACGACGACGAGGGAGGAGG